CUGCGUUAAGGAUUGUAGUGAAAAUCCUUUUGCUCGCUGAGCUUGUCGAAGCGCAAAAGAUUGAAACGGAAAGCCUGGCCGAAG
rnacentral:sRNA from 10 species